rnacentral:rRNA from 1 species
AGCAGCCGCGGUAAUUCCAGCUCCAAUAGCGUAUAUUAAAGUUGUUGCAGUUAAAAAGCUCGUAGUUGAAUUUCGGGGUCAGUAGGUUGGUCGUGCCUCUGGUAUGUACUGGCUUUACUGAUUCCUCCUUCUUGAAGAACUGUAAUGUCAUUAAUUUGGUGUUGCAGGGAAACAGGACUGUUACUUUGAAAAAAUUAGAGUGUUUAAAGCAGGCUAACGCUUGAAUACAUUAGCAUGGAAUAAUGAAAUAGGACGUUUGAUCCUAUUUUGUUGGUUUCUAGGAUCGACGUAAUGAUUAAUAGGGAUAGUUGGGGGCAUUAGUAUUCAAUUGUCAGAGGUGAAAUUCUUGGAUUCAUUGAAGACUAACUACUGCGAAAGCAUUUGCCAAGGAUGUUUUCAUUAAUCAAGAACGAAAGUUAGGGGAUCGAAGACGAUCAGAUACCGUCGUAGUCUUAACCAUAAACUAUGCCGACUAGGGAUCGGAUGAUGUUAAUUUUUAAUGACUCAUUCGGCGCCUUAA